UGCUGAAGCACACUCACUCUAU
rnacentral:piRNA from 1 species